CCUACGGGGGGCAGCAGUGGGGGAUAUUGCACAAUGGGGGGAACCCUGAUGCAGCGACGCCGCGUGGGUGAAGGAGCGUUUCGGCGCGUAAAGCCCUAUCGGCAGGGAAGAAGAUGACGGUACCUGGCCAAGAAGCCCCGGCUAACUACGUGCCAGCAGCCGCGGUAAUACGUAGGGGGCACGCGUGAUCCGGAUUUACUGGGUGUAAAGGGGGCGCAGACGGCAAUGCAAGCCAGGAGUGAAAGCCCGGGGCCCAACCCCGGGACUGCUCUUGGAACUGCAUGGCUGGAGUACAGGAGGGGCAGGCGGAAUUCCUGGUGUAGCGGUGAAAUGCGUAGAUAUUAGGAGGAACACCGGUGGCGAAGGCGGCCUGCUGGACUGUGACUGACGUUGAGGCCCGAAGGCGUGGGGAGCAAACAGGAUUAGAUACCCCUGUAGUC
rnacentral:rRNA from 1 species